UCCAGUUGCUUUCUAGAUGUGAUGCAUAACUGUCACCCAGGAGUUUCUUUCAUUUGGAAUCCUGCAUUAGUUCUACUCUAUCUUUAUCCCAUAGGCAUUUUGCUAUCUCAAAUAACUUUUCCUAAAAGAGUACAUGGGAAAUAUCAUUGGAUCUAGGCAUAUCUGCAAGUCUAUUCUGUUUCCAUAUUUGGCAACUUUGCUGGAUCUAAAAUUCUAGGCCCCAAAUAAUCUUCUCUUAGAACCUUGGAGCUAUUAUUUCAAUCCGUCAACAAAAAACUAUCCAGUACUUGCUCUAUGGAGUAGUCUACUAGGUGCUGGCAAUAUAGCAAUGAGGUAAAUAUUCCUGCCUCCAUGGAGCUUAUGUUCUAGUUAGGGAAGACCAACAAUAAAAAAUUAGAAGUGAAUGACAUUAGAAGGUAAUGAUUCAUCUGUAAGAAAAUGAAAAUGAAUUCUCUAGAAUUUUAUGUUUGGUUUCUUUUGUGCCUGGCUUCUUCAUGUAGCAUAAUCCACUUGAGCUUCAUUUGUGGUACAUGUUUCAGUAGUUCCUUUUUAUUGUCAAGUGGUAUAUCACUUCAUUUAUACAUUCAUUAGUUGAUAGACAUUUGAGUGGCUUCCUUUUUUUGCUACUAUGAAUAAAACAGAACGUCCAUAUACAUAUCUUUG
rnacentral:lncRNA from 1 species